GCGUCCCAUCAGGUGAGAGGUGAGAUAACGGCUCACCAAACAUAUAACCGGUACGGCCCAUCAGAUCGCUAGCAUGGAGAUGGGCACUGAUACAAGGGCCCAGGCCCUACGGGGCGCAGCAGUCGCGAAAACUCCGCAAUGCACGAAAGUGUGACGGGGCUACCCCGAGUGCCGUCCGCUGAGGAUGGCUUUUCCCCGGUGUAACUAGCCGGGGGAAUAAGGAGAGGGCAAGACUGGUGUCAGCCGCCGCGGUAA
rnacentral:rRNA from 1 species